rnacentral:rRNA from 1 species
UACGGAGGGUGCAAGCAUUAAUCGGAAUUACUGGGCGUAAAGGGCGCGUAGGCUGUUUGGUAAGUCAUUUGUGAAAUUCCAGAGCUUAACUCUGGAGCUGCAGAUGAAACUACCAAACUGGAGUUAAAGCGGAGAAAACGGAAUUUCCCAUGUAGCGGUGAAAUGCGUGGAUAUGGGAAGGAACACCGGUGGCGAAAGCGGUUUUCUAGCUUUUAACUGACGCUGAGGCGCGAGAGCAAGGGGAGCAAAC